AUUGAACGCUGGCGGCAGGCCUAACACAUGCAAGUCGAACGAGUGGCGGACGGGUGCGUCAUGUCUGGGACACUGCCUGAUGGAGGGGUCUCACUACUGUAAACGGUAGCUAAUACCGCCUACCAUCGGAUGUGCCCAGCUGGGAUUAGCUAGUAGGUGGGGGAAAGGCUCACCUAGGCGACGAUCCCUAGCUGGUCUGAGAGGAUGACGAGCCACACGGGAACUGAGACACGGGCCAGACGUCUACGGUAGGCAGCAGUGGGGAAGAUGGCACAAGGGGCGCAAGCCUGAGGCAGCCAUGCCGCGUGUAUGAAGAAGGCCUUCGGGGUGUAAAGUACGGUCAGCGGGGAGGCGUUACCCGCAGAAGAAGCACCGGAUAACUCCGUGCCAGCAGCCGCGGUAAUUC
rnacentral:rRNA from 1 species